GUUGUUAUCAUCACCUUCAGAUGAGGAAUUGAGGCUGACUGAGGUCAAGUACCUGCCAGAGAUCACCCAGCUCGCAAGUGCUGGAGUUGAGAUUGGACCCCAAGCUUGUCUGACCCCAACCCCCUGCACUCAACCAAAAUGGUACAUCAUUGCCCAGGUGUGAUGCUGGGCGCGAGAUUCUGGCAACAGCCCCGCCUGGAACUCAGGAUGUCAAAGCUUCUCAUGACCGCCUAAAUGAGAUGAAAUUAGGAGAAUGACAUGACUCUCCUUGUAGCAUCUAAGGCCUUCUCCAUCUCCCACCGUCGUGGUGGGAGAAGAGCUGGUCAGGGUUCUGACGGCCUGGGAUCCUGGUGCUGUGUCUCGCUCUUUGCAGGAUGAGCCCACCCAGGAAGAAACACACACCCCAUAGCUUUUCCUCAAGGCUCUCCUCCCAGACUGGGCUUCCACGCUGAAUGCCUCCUGCAAUGGAUAAAGGCAUCUAAGUGUCCCUCAGUUGCCUUAUCAUGGGCAUCUUUAAGGCCUGGGAUUUUGGAAAACAUCCCUGAGAAUGUACAACCCGCCGUGUGCCUGUUUGUUCCCGACCGCAGAGAGUAGAGGGGCUGGGAGAGAAGUCAUGACCAUCUCCAGGGAGCGAGGAAGGCUUUGCCCUCCCACGCCACUCCACUGCCUCUGAGCCCGGGGUGCAGUGCAAAGCCAGGAGAGAAGGCUGGAGCUUGUUGUUCUGCGCCUGGGUGUUUUCAAGUUUAUGCUUCUAGACAAACAAGCCCGGAGGAGCCGAAGACAACGCGGACAUCUAAAAGCUGCCCCUCAAAUUAACACCUUUCGUCUCAGCUUUGAUUCCUUUCGGAGACACACCUGAACAUGAAGAACUGAUGCCGUUAUCUCACCAGAUCUGAGUUUGGGGGAAUUGUCCAAGUUCUGCUUCCUUCCUCUGCAUUGGGACAGAUCCAGGGUGGGAGAGAGAAACAGCAUUAUGACGAGGAGAGAGCGGCUCCGUUGUUCCUCAUUAUGAUUAUUAUUUGCAGAAAGGCCCAGUGCACAUUCAGCAGGGUUGUAAGUGCCCAGAAGGUGGUGGGGAAUGCCCCUGGUCAUUCUCAGGGAAGUUAGCCCGGCUCCCCUCCGCCAGCAUCAGAUAACAGCUAAGAUGCUAGGAGCAAAGCUAAGCCAAGCCUGCAUCCUGGCUGGUCAGACGCAGAAACCGGGGAGAAGGAAAUGGAAAGCCAGAGAAGCAGAAAAGGAGAGCCACAAAUGGGACAGGACAAGGCUGGGCAGAAAGUACGACGGAGAAGAAAGAUGGAAAAGCAGACAACAUGCAGGAGAGGUGGCGAAAAUGAUGCCCACUGUCCUCAGGCC
rnacentral:lncRNA from 1 species